rnacentral:rRNA from 1 species
AACGAACGCUGGCGGCAUGCCUAACACAUGCAAGUCGAACGAGACCUUCGGGUCUAGUGGCGCACGGGUGCGUAACGCGUGGGAAUCUACCCUUGGGUUCGGAAUAACAGUUAGAAAUGACUGCUAAUACCGGAUGAUGACGUAAGUCCAAAGAUUUAUCGCCCAAGGAUGAGCCCGCGUAAGAUUAGCUUGUUGGUGGGGUAAUGGCCCACCAAGGCGACGAUCUUAGCUGGUCUGAGAGGAUGAUCAGCCACACUGGGACUGAGACACGGCCCAGACUCCUACGGGAGGCAGCAGUGGGGAAUAUUGGACAAUGGGCGAAAGCCUGAUCCAGCAAUGCCGCGUGAGUGAUGAAGGCCUUAGGGUUGUAAAGCUCUUUUACCAGGGAUGAUAAUGACAGUACCUGGAGAAUAAGCUCCGGCUAACUCCGUGCCAGCCGCCGCUGUAA